rnacentral:rRNA from 1 species
CCUACGGGAGGCAGCAGUGGGGGAUAUUGCACAAUGGGGGGAACCCUGAUGCAGCGACGCAGCGUGGGGGAAGAAGAGCCGCGGCGCGGAAAGCCCUGUCAGCAGGGAAGAAAAGGACGGUACCUGAAGAAGAAGCCCCGGCUAACGACGGGCCAGCAGCCGCGGUAAUACGUAGGGGGCAAGCGUUAUCCGGAUUUACUGGGUGUAAAGGGGGCGCAGACGGCGAUGCAAGCCAGGAGUGAAAGCCCGGGGCCCAACCCCGGGACUGCUCUUGGAACUGCGUGGCGGGAGUGCAGGAGGGGCAGGCGGACUUCCUGGUGUAGCGGUGACAUGCGUCGAUAUCCGGAGGCACACCGGUGGCGAAGGCGGCCUGCUGGACUGCAACUGCCGUUGAGGCCCGACAGCGUGGGGAGCAAACAGGAUUAGAUACCCCGGUAGUC